CAGCAGGAGUCAGUCCUGCCGGGGUAAGAGUCAGACGCCCCGUAGCUUGGAUAGCAGGGUGGCGGGAAACCAAGACUCUGAAGCCUAUCGACUGGCGUCUCCCUGGGAGACGCGCGAGUGAUUGGGCCGUAAUGCAA
rnacentral:ncRNA from 1 species